AUUGAACGCUGGCGGCAGGCCUAACACAUGCAAGUCGAACGAGUGGCGGACGGGUGAGUAAUGUCUGGGAAACUGCCCGAAGGAGGGGGAUAACUACUGGAAACGGUAGCUAAUACCGCAUACCAUCGGAUGUGCCCAGAUGGGCUUAGCUAGUAGGUGGGGUAAAGGCUCACCUAGGCGACGAUCCAUAGCUGGGAUGAGAGGAUGACCAGCCACACUGGAGCUGAGACACGGUCCAGACUCCUACGGCAGGCAGCAGUGGGUAAUAUUGCACAAUGGGCGCAAGCCUGAUGCAGCCAUGCGGCGUGUAUGAAGAAGGCCUUCGGGUUUUAAAGUACUUUAAGCGGGGAGACGUUACCCGCAGAAGAAGCGCCGGCUAACUCCGUGCCAGCAGCCGCGGUAAUUC
rnacentral:rRNA from 1 species